rnacentral:rRNA from 1 species
GAUUUCCGAAUGGGGAAACCCAGUGUGUUUCGACACACUAUCAUUAACUGAAUCCAUAGGUUAAUGAGGCGAACCGGGGGAACUGAAACAUCUAAGUACCCCGAGGAAAAGAAAUCAACCGAGAUUCCCCCAGUAGCGGCGAGCGAACGGGGAGGAGCCCAGAGCCUGAAUCAGUGUGUGUGUUAGUGGAAGCGUCUGGAAAGGCGCGCGAUACAGGGUGACAGCCCCGUACACAAAAAUGCACAUAUUGUGAGCUCGAUGAGUAGGGCGGGACACGUGGUAUCCUGUCUGAAUAUGGGGGGACCAUCCUCCAAGGCUAAAUACUCCUGACUGACCGAUAGUGAACCAGUACCGUGAGGGAAAGGCGAAAAGAACCCCGGCGAGGGGAGUGAAAAAGAACCUGAAACCGUGUACGUACAAGCAGUGGGAGCCUCUUAAUGGGGUGACUGCGUACCUUUUGUAUAAUGGGUCAGCGACUUAUAUUCUGUAGCAAGGUUAACCGAAUAGGGGAGCCGAAGGGAAACCGAGUCUUAACUGGGCGUUAAGUUGCAGGGUAUAGACCCGAAACCCGGUGAUCUAGCCAUGGGCAGGUUGAAGGUUGGGUAACACUAACUGGAGGACCGAACCGACUAAUGUUGAAAAAUUAGCGGAUGACUUGUGGCUGGGGGUGAAAGGCCAAUCAAACCGGGAGAUAGCUGGUUCUCCCCGAAAGCUAUUUAGGUAGCGCCUCGUGAAUUCAUCUCCGGGGGUAGAGCACUGUUUCGGCAAGGGGGUCAUCCCGACUUACCAACCCGAUGCAAACUGCGAAUACCGGAGAAUGUUAUCACGGGAGACACACGGCGGGUGCUAACGUCCGUCGUGAAGAGGGAAACAACCCAGACCGCCAGCUAAGGUCCCAAAGUCAUGGUUAAGUGGGAAACGAUGUGGGAAGGCCCAGACAGCCAGGAUGUUGGCUUAGAAGCAGCCAUCAUUUAAAGAAAGCGUAAUAGCUCACUGGUCGAGUCGGCCUGCGCGGAAGAUGUAACGGGGCUAAACCAUGCACCGAAGCUGCGGCAGCGACACUAUGUGUUGUUGGGUAGGGGAGCG